CUUUUCUUGUUAGUUUUUGAAGUAUGGCCUGCCCGCUGAUGGGUUAAUUUAGUUGAAGGGCCGCGGUAUUUUGACCGUGCAAAGGUAGCAUAGUCAUUAGUUCUUUAAUUGUGAUCUGGUAUGAAUGGCUUGACGAGAUGUGAGCUGUCUUGGUGUUGAAUUGUUUAUUGAAUUUGGUUUUUGAGUUAAAAUUCUUAGAUGUAUUUAUGGGACGAGAAGACCCUAUAGAGUUUGACAGUUUUGUGUGUUAUUUAUUUGUUUGUUUUUGUGUUUUGCAUAGUUUACUGUUUUGUUGGGGUGAUGGGAGGAAUUUUCUUAACUCCUCUUUUUUGUGGUAUAUUGAUUUAUAUUUAUUUUGAUCCAUUUAUUUUGAUUAUAAGGUUAAAUUACCUUAGGGAUAACAGCGUUAUCUUCCUUGAGAGUUCUUAUUGGCAGGGAGGUUUGCGACCUCGAUGUUGGAUUAAGGUUAAUUUUUGGUGUAGGAGCUGAAUAGUUGAUUGGGUCUGUUCGACCUUUAAAAUCUUACA
rnacentral:rRNA from 1 species